rnacentral:tRNA from 1 species
AAAAUGUAUAUUAAGACUUCUAAUCUUUACUAAGUACUCAGCACUGCAUUUUA